CAGCACCACUCGUGACCUGGCAGCCUGGCUAUGGCUGUUGGGUUCCAUUCUGGUGCCAUAGCAUCACCGUUGAUGCCACGCAGCUGGCUGCCCAGUGGUUUCCAGCCUGGGGUCCUGGAGACAGAC